UCGCACGAAUUCCUUUCCCGUCUUGGUGGGCGAAGAGCAAGCCGAGCCGCGAGAAUAGCACCGAUGCCCGGGCUGCUUCCUCUUCCGUCUGGCUCUGCUCAUGCCGAUUCCCGGAGCGACGACGAGGGCGGCGUUGGACUCUGGAUCGAUCUCAGCGGCAAGGGAUCCAGAGGCGUGUGAGGCGCUGUCCGUUUUGGGCGAGGGCGGUAACACUUUGCCUGAUUCGGCCGUAGGCUCGCCGGAUUCGACCGUCGGAGCGGCCUCGCCGGACAUUCGUCGGUUGGAUCAAGGGGGGGCCUUGACUGAUGUCCAGUCCUCCGAGGCUUCCUGCAAGACCUUCAGUUCUGGGGGUGGAGAUGUGUCAUCCGCAAACCCCGGGUGCGCGACUCCUGCCAUAGUCUCGCACAACUCCGUCAAGUCCAGCCGCCGCAGUGCCGCGUCGGAUUCCUGCAUGACAUUCAGUUCUGGGGGCGUGGUCCCGCCGUCGGCGCGAGUCUGCGAUGAGACGUCGGCCAUAGUCUCGAGCUGCGCCGUGUAGUCCUUACGCCAAAACGGGUCGGCUUUGGGAAACACCAUCAUCCGCGUUGGCUGGAAGCGCAAGUAGCUAUUGAUUUUCUGUCGCUUAGGCCAAUGGUGGGUGGUAUGUACCUGAAAAUCGUGCCUCCAACAACCAUGAAAUGCUCCGGACCUAUGCUGAGAAGCUGCACUAGCCAUCACACCGGCACAUUGACACGUACACAAGGGAUCUCGUGAAAUAGUUGCGCCAGAACAACGUUAACCUGGGGAAGGUCUACAACAUCAUUGGAAGCCUGUUUGGUCGGAUGGAGAACGUCUCGUUCACAAAGAGGUGCCUUAGAACUUUCUGUGGAAAGCUUAUUAAGGAGCAGGCGGAUGAUGAUGUGCGGAAGACUAUGAAUGCCUUCUCUGAGCUGGGAUCAAAUGAUCCUGAGUUUCCGUAUGUUAAAGAAACCAAGAUAAAGACCCUGUUGUGGACUAAUGGUAGAAGUAAGAUGCAAUACCACUAUUUCGGGAAUGUGAUAACGUUCGACACUACUUACAAGACAAAUCUGUACGACAUGCCUUUCGGGCUAUUCAUGGGGGUGAACAAUCACUUCCAGAGUAUAAUCAUGGGUGGAGUCAUGAUGAGAGAAGAAACGAUUGAGAGUUUCAAAUGGGUAUUUACCGAGUUCAUUAGGAUGAUACGGGGCUAGCCUCCGAAAACAAUACUUACAGGUUGUUUGUUUCCCUCCGAUGUCCUAUUUUUGCCACCUCUGUAUCACACCUGAUACCAAGAAUAAAUGCACAUCGCGACUGUGUGUGUGGAGCGGGUUCUCCUAUUUUGAUUACAAGUUACAUCCCUGAUUUAUCGUUUUCUGCCUACAGAUCAUGCGCGCGCAAUGGAGGUGGCUAUACAACAAAUGAUGCCGGAUACCACACACCGGUGGUGCAAGUGGCAUGUGCUAUGAAGGUGAAGGAGCACCUCCGCCGCAUUACACAAAACGGAAUGAUUUUAGGGCUGCAUUGCACAAGGUGGUCAAGGAAAUGCUCACUAUGGACGAGUUUGAAGCAGCUUGGCUGAAAUGCUGGACAAAUACAAACUUCACAACAACACGUUCCUCAUCCAAAUUUUUGAGGUUCGGCACAAGUGAGCGAAGCCUUAUUUUAGUGGCAAGUUCUGUGCGAAGCAAACCAGUACGCAAAAAAGCGAGAGUGCAAACCAUUUGUUGAAGGGCUACAUCCCGCCUGCAUGCCCCAUGAACCUUUUUGUGAAGCAAUAUAGCUAAUUGCAGUUCGACUGGGAAGCUGAAGAAGGAUUCCAAGAGAAGAGAACAAGGCUGGGCGGGAUAGUUCUCCCAUACAAUUACCCUUUGGAGGAGCAUGCAAGUAAAGUGUAUACCUGGACAAUGUAUGAGACGUUUGGGCUAGCUUUGUAUCGCUCUGGUAAGUAUGAGGUUGAGGGUGUUGAGUGGGGCAUCAGCUACCACGUGCGGCACGUUGAAGCUGAGAAGCGAGAGAAGUGGUGCGGCAAAAUGCAUGUGGUCAGUGUCCAUGAUGGCGGUGCUAGGUACACAUGCGAAUGUGGGCUCUUCGAGCACAUGGGGAUGCUUUGUUGCCAUGCUAUCAAGGUUUUAAUUCAUUUGGGAGUGAGAAAGAUACCCAGAUUCCAUGUCCUGAAGAGGUGGACAGUAGAUGCCCGCGACUGUUUGCCACUUCACCUUCUCCAUUACCAAAAAGAUCAAGGGCCUCCGCGGUUAUCCUCCUAAAGGCAUACAUCACUACACCUGACCACGCUCGAGUUUGUGCAGCUUGGUGAUAGCAAUGUCGAUGCCCUCGAUAGAGCAAUGGACAUCCUGAUUGCAGGCAAGGCAGAGCUGACUGUUUUGGCAGCGGUAAGGAUGGCAAAAGUUUGGUGGACUAAACUCAAAUUGGGGAGCCAGCCAAUCCCACUCAGGAUAUGGGCGCAGGUUCCUCGCAACUAUAUGACAUGUGUUCUCAGAUCUUCAUCUCCACCGAGUGUGGACUUAGUUCUAUUUCAGGGGAAGCUGGCUCCAGCCUCUCACUGUCGACGUUCCUGCCGCCUGAUAGGAAGAAGCAGAAAGGUAGGCCAACCAAAGCGAGGGACAAACCUGGAUAUGAGGUCAAGGACACGCGAUCAAGGUUUUGUACGGUUUGUAGGGAGAAAGGGCACAAGAGCACGACGUGCCCCCGCAGGCUGACCUUCCGAAGAAACCUCAGAAAAUCCCUACAUGCGGCAAUUGCGGUGUAGCUGGGCACAAAAAAACAAGUUGUUUCAACCUAGUCUUGCCGUUUGUGAAUCGGCCUUGCGACGGGCCAGUCGAGUGAUGUUCGGUUCAGCGCUUGAAGCAGGUUGUUGAAUCCAAAAACCAAUCCAGAGUUUGAGUAGUUCGAUUUCCUGCAGUUAGGCUUAAUUUGGGACUGUGAUUUAUUUUUCCAAUAAGCUUUGUGCCUGGCUGGAUGGUACUGUAAUUUGAUUUCAUGCUGUUAGGCUUCGUUUUGGCAUGUGAUUUUGAUUUUCCAAUAAGGGAUGUCGCAACUUGAUUGGACUGUAAAAAUGACUUA